CGGCGGCGGCGGCGGGGUGCAGGCACUUGCAGUCGACGCAGACUCAGGCCACCAUGUUCUCCCUCCCUCAAACUGUGCUACUCCUUUGAGCUCCUCAGGUGGUCUGCUCCAACUCUUCUCCAUCGUCUUCAUAUUUCCUGAGGAAUCAGAGAUGUUGACGCGUAAUGAUAGGCACUGAUCGCAAUCUAAUGGCAGGGCAUCACCAUCGAGCUGUAUGUAGGUCAACGCUGCAAGUCCUGGUUCGAUGACCAGGCGUUCGUGCUCUCGCUUAAGAUCCAUGGAGGCGGGCCAAGUGGAAGCUCGGUAACGCCGCCCACCUUCUCCCCUUCCCUUCCUCUCCAUGGACUCUCUUCCUUGACCUGUGUGUACACGGCCGGAGCUUCUCCGACGCUCCUUAAACUGAUUUGGCCUCGUCCAACCCCAACUAAAAGGUUGGGAGUGCAGCGACGCCUUUAAAUGCCUCCACGAACGAUACCAGUGGGGUUGGGAUCGUCUCCGAGUGCUGCACAGUCAUCGGGCUGCGCCUCUAGAAAUCCCAAGCCCAGGUACGUGGCAAUGGAUGGUCUUGAUGUGGGGAUCGGACGGCUCCAACCAGAAGCAUGGUUGGAGCGGAGCGGAUCCUAACCGCACAUCAUCCUUGCCGUACACCUCUAAGAAAAAUAUACACCACCACUACAUAAGAAGUGCAAACUUAAUAUUCGCUAUUAGAGUAUACAAAAGUUCUGAGCAAACAGUGUUUGAAAAAAAAAAAGUCUAAACAAAUAAUAAAGAAUUAAAUUAUAUGAAAAUAUUUAAGAGGAAAUAUAUCUAAAGAACAUAUAAUAAUAUAUUCUUUCAAGAAAAAUAUUGGGGUGUCUUAAGUUUCACUAUUUAUCAUUUGGGAGCGUGGAUGACACAUUCAUCCUCGUACAGCUACACCAUUGACUCCCAUGAACUCGUUCGAGUGGGUGAGCAUUCACGAGCAGUUGGUGCCCAACAAGACAACAGCCUGUAGUGUCAUGUGACUUCUACAGCUCACCAGCAGCAACCACUACAAUAAAUUAAGGUCAUUUAAUGUUUGAGGUCAUAACCACUGUGAGUUUAAUGUUGCAGUACAUAUCAGUGAGUCAAGGUGAUCGAUAUUUGACUCGAUGACUUGGCCACAGAGAUAGAUCUUGACAUUGUUAUGUAACAAUGUCUUGCCACCCACGAAGGCAUCACGGACAAAUCAUGAAACUUUAGAUCGAUGUGUUUUGCUGUGUGUUUUCUGGAUUGAUAUUUGAUACAUUAUAUAUCUUCCUAAAUGUUAGGCAUUUAAGAUCACAGUUACGUUUGCAUGUUUGCUGUCACCUACCUACAGAAGAUGAGCCUCGGGACUUGGCAUUGAAGCUUUUCUGUAGAGUCUACGAGGUUUGAUUGCAACAAAGGGGAUCUCAGGUUCAAUGGAAUUGAAUUUGAUCGGGUGUGGCAUUGGGCGAUUAUGAGAGCCUUCCUGCUGCAAACGCUCAGGCAUUUCCAGAUGCUAAUGCUAUCCUUUCUUCCUCAAACAGAUAAGAAGAGACAGGACUUCUGCUCAUGCCAAAUAUCAUCGACAUCUUCGCUUCAUCAAAUCACUGAUACAAGCAAGUUCCCCAGGUCUUCCUGAUCUGCCUACCGAGAAAUCUUUGCAGUCCAAAGAAGACCAUCAUCACAUCCAUCCAUUGACAGAACAUGGCAGCAACAGGAUCCCCGAGGUUGUAGACUGCUGCAAAGUCUCUUGUGCUGAAGUUUUGCCUCCAUCCCGGUGCAUAGAUUGUUUGCCGGACGGAUUGCCGGAACAGCACAAACACAAAGCGAUGGAUUCCAGAGAUGGGUCGGGGACUCUCAUAGAUACUCUCUCUUGGUUGGAGUGCUGGGGCUUGGUGCAUCAGGGUCCACCAUCACCUGAUCACAUACCCCCAUCAUGGUUAGCUCAGGCAUUAAGAGGGCUACUUAGUCAGAUGCAACUGAAAGAUGAUCAAACACGACAAAAGCAUUAAGAAGUCG